UACGUAGGGUGCGAGCGUUGUCCGGAAUUAUUGGGCGUAAAAGAGCUCGUAGGCGGUCUGUCGCGUCGAAUGUGAAAAACCCCGGGGGCUCAACUCCGGGCUUGCAUUCGAUACGGGCAGGCUAGAGUUCGGUAGGGGAGUCUGGAAUUCCUGGUGUAGCGGUGAAUGCGCAGAGUAUCAGGAGGAACACCGGUGGGCGAAGGCGGGACUCUGGGCCGGAGUACUGACGCUGGAGGAGCGAAAGCGUGGGGAGCGAACAG
rnacentral:rRNA from 1 species